rnacentral:misc_RNA from 1 species
GAUGAAGAACGUAGCGAAAUGCGAUAACUAGUGUGAAUUGCAGAUUUCAGUGAAUCAUCGAAUCUUUGAACGCACAUUGCACCUCUCGGUAUUCCGGGAGGUAUGCCUGUUCGAGCGUCAUUUGUACCCUCAAGCUCUGCUUGGUGUUGGGUGUUUGUUCCGCCUCUGUGUGUGAACUCGCCUCAAAACAAUUGGCAGCCGGCGUACUUGUUUCGGAGCGCAGCACAUUUUGCGAUCCAGAUCAACGUACAGCGGCAUCCAAGAAGCCUUAUUUAACGCUCUUGACCUCGGAUCAGGUAGGGAUACCCGCUGAACUUAAGCAUAUCAAUAAGCGGAGGA